rnacentral:rRNA from 1 species
CCAGACUCCUACGGGAGGCAGCAGUGGGGAAUAUUGGGCAAUGGGCGCAAGCCUGACCCAGCAACGCCGCGUGAAGGAAGAAGGCUUUCGGGUUGUAAACUUCUUUUCUGGGGGACGAAGAAAGUGACGGUACCCCAGGAAUAAGCCACGGCUAACUACGUGCCAGCAGCCGCGGUAAUACGUAGGUGGCAAGCGUUAUCCGGAUUUAUUGGGUGUAAAGGGCGUGUAGGCGGGAAUGCAAGUCAGAUGUGAAAACUAUGGGCUCAACCCAUAGCCUGCAUUUGAAACUGUAUUUCUUGAGUGCUGGAGAGGCAAUCGGAAUUCCGUGUGUAGCGGUGAAAUGCGUAGAUAUUAGGAGGAACACCAGUGGCGAAGGCGGCCUGCUGGACGACAACUGACGGUGAGGCGCGAAAGCGUGGGGAGCAAACAGGAUUAGAUACCCCCGUAUUU